GGAACACACUAUUAAAGAUACACAGACAGAAGACAGUUUAGAGUCAAUAACUAACACUUGUGAUGACUGAAGACACAACAUGACAAGGUUAUUAAAUAAGGUUAGGGUAAGACAGACAGACACAGUUAGACCAACACAGAAAGAGAUCAGAGGUUGACCUACAGACACACUGUUCAGAUGAAAGGUUGACCUACACAGAGGUUGACCUACACAGAGGUUGACCUACACAGAGACACAGCGGGAAAUGUGAAGGUGACCUACAGACACACUGUCCAGGUGACUAAUAUAAUGUAAUUAGUGGGUAGGAUAGACACAGACACACUGUCCAGGUGACUAAUAUAAUGUUAUUAGUGGGUAGGAUAGACACAGACACACUGUCCAGGUGACUAAUAUCAUGUAAUUAGUGGGUAGGAUAGACACAGACACACUGUCCAGGUGACUAAUAUAAUGUUAUUAGUGGGUAGGAUAGACACAGACACACUGUCCAGGUGACUAAUAUCAUGUAAUUAGUGGGUAGGAUAGACACAGACACACUGUCCAGGUGACUAAUAUAAUGUUAUUAGUGGGUAGGAUAGACACAGACACACUGUCCAGGUGACUAAUAUCAUGUAAUUAGUGGGUAGGAUAGACACAGACACACUGUCCAGGUGACUAAUAUAAUGUAAUUAGUGGGUAGGAUAGACACAGACACACUGUCCAGGUGACUAAUAUAAUGUAAUUAGUGGGUAGGAUAGACACAGACACACUGUCCAGGUGACUAAUAUAAUGUAAUUAGUGGGUAGGAUAGACACAGACACACUGUCCAGGUGACUAAUAUAAUGUAAUUAGUGGGUAGGAUAGACACAGACACACUGUCCAGGUGACUAAUAUAAUGUAAUUAGUGGGUAGGAUAGACACAGACACACUGUCCAGGUGACUAAUAUAAUGUAAUUAGUGGGUAG